GACGAACGCUGGCGGCGUGCUUAACACAUGCAAGUCGAACGGAAAGGCCCUACUUGCAUGGUACUCGUGUGUCGCACGGGUGUGUAACAUGUGUGUGUUCUCCCCUGUUCUUUCUGGUAUGCCUGCGAGACUCUGUCUCUUACCCUAUAUGCUCCAUUUCUCGUGUUAUUGUUGUAUAGUUUUUUCGUUGUAGUCUUAGCUCGCGGCCUAUCCGCUUGUUGGUGGGGUAAUGGCCUACCAAGGCGGCGACGGGUAGCCGGCCUGAGAGGGUGGACGGCCACACUGGGACUGAGAUACGGCCCAGACUCCUACGGGAGGCAGCAGUGGGGAAUAUUGCACAAUGGGCGAAAGCCUGAUGCAGCGACGCCGCGUGGGGGAUGACGGCCUUCGGGUUGUAAACUCCUUUCGGUAGGAAAGAAGCUAUUAGUGACGGUACCUGGAUAAGAAGCACCGGCUAACUACGUG
rnacentral:rRNA from 1 species